AUAACUGUCUCGAAUUCUCCCAACCCUCCUCGUGUUUAGAGGAGGUUGGGAGAAGAAAAAGAAAACAAGUCCCGCUAUUGCUGAAAUAGAAACGCUCGUGAACUUGGAAUACAUAAAAGCUCUUAAACAAGCAUUCUUUUGGUCAUUCUCGUUAACUUCCAAUCGUGUUUCUCUGACUAGAACUCGAUAGAGAAACGGAAAACGUUUUCUGUUGUUAAGAGCAAAGGAAAUUAAGUUAACUUGGCAGAAAAAAUUAACUUAACUUACCAACUGAAUCUUCGUUUAAGAAUAUUUGAAAUUUUCAAACGAACAUUUGGUUUACAAUGUUGCAUCAGACGCAUUGACAGCAUAGAAGAGGAGUGUGUCUGCUCUUUGAUUUAAGUAUAACAUUAACUGAAAACAUUGGUGUCUCCUUUGCGCUUUGAAAUGUGGACGUUUCUGACGGGAAGAUCGCGGGAAAAAUUUACAUUACAAAAAUGUCCCAACAUACGGGCUUUCUAUAUUUGCUAAUUAUUCAUCGCGGGUUCAGUUGUCCACCAUGUUUGUCGGUUCCUUGAUGCUGCUUCAUUAUCUGCAAAGAAAUGGUGAAAAGAUUUGCUGGAUUACUUAUUUACUAGUACAAGACGAACGAUACGCUUCGACAGCCAGGCGCUGAAUGGACCAAAGCAAUGAUACAUUCAACACAGACGGGAGAAAUUUGGACAAACAAGGUACACGUGUUAAAGUUUUGCUUAAGACAUCGCGGAGUUGGAGCUGCUUUUUUGAGUUACUGUGUAAUCCUGGGAUGGUUUUAGUUAAGGUAAAUGACUGCUGUGUUUCCUUCGUUCUCUAAAGAAGCCUGAAAUAGAUGGGUUAUCCUUUCUUCAACUUGCGGUACAUGGAACCUUAGCCUUUGUAGGGGUAAUUUCUCCAGUGGACUAACGAAUGCGCUAGCUAAAAAGGCUUUACAAUUCUUAGUUUAUCUUUAUGUUAAGCCAUCUAAGUGUUGAAUUAUUAUUUUAUUUGUAACAUUUUAGGUUUUGUAAAACAGAGGGAAAGACGGGUUUCAUCAAAACGAAGCUCUGACUUUACAAAUUGAACUGUACUGAUUUAAUGGGAAAUACUUGAGGGUUAUCGAUGAUGGCAUUCUCUCUGGGAGCGGUUCAAGGCAAUAAGAAACCAUGAUGUUAUGGACGCACGGAUCGGUGAAUAACUCUGGUUGUUAAGGACGAAAGACAUUAAUCGUGCUAGGAAGCAACAAAGGAGCUCUACAGUCAAGCAAACAAACUUCGGCGAAUGAAGUUCCAUCCGUGCAAGAUGUUGAAUGAAUAAAGUUAAAGUUUGAGCAACAUUUUGGCGAAAAUCAUAACUGCACUUUUGCAAGUGGCCUUUCGAGCGAAAGAAAAAAACUAAGUCUUUUGGCGGGAAGAAUAACUGCGUUUUUGAAAGAAACUUUUCGAGC